AGCGUAGACGGCAAGGCAAGUCUGAUGUGAAAGACUGGGGCUCAACCCCGGGACUGCAUUGGAAACUGUCCUGCUGGAGUGCCGGAGAGGUAAGCGGAAUUCCUAGUGUAGCGGUGAAAUGCGUAGAUAUUAGGAGGAACACCAGUGGCGAAGGCGGCUUACUGGACGGUAACUGACGUUGAGGCUCGAAAGCGUGGGGAGCAAACA
rnacentral:rRNA from 1 species